rnacentral:rRNA from 1 species
GAUGAACGCUGGCGGCGCGCCUAACACAUGCAAGUCGAACGGUUAAAGCACCUUCGGGUGUGUAUAAAGUGGCGAACGGCUGAGUAACACGUGGGCAACCUGCCCCUCGCACCGGGAUAGCCUCGGGAAACCGUGGUUAAUACCGGAUACUCCGGGACCCCCGCAUGGGGGUGCCGGGAAAGCCCUGACGGCGAGGGAUGGGCCCGCGGCCUGUUAGCUUGUUGGCGGGGUAACGGCCCACCAAGGCGAUUAUGGGUAGCCGGGUUGAGAGACUGAUCGGCCACAUUGGGACUGAGACACGGCCCAA